GCUGGCGUAGCUCAAUUGGUAGAGCACCUGAUUUGUAAUCAGGGGGUUGCGGGUUCAAGUCCCAUCGCCAGCUCCA
rnacentral:tRNA from 7 species